rnacentral:rRNA from 1 species
AGUGAACGCUGGCGGUAGGCCUAACACAUGCAAGUCGAACGGCAGCACAGUAAGAGCUUGCUCUUACGGGUGGCGAGUGGCGGACGGGUGAGGAAUACAUCGGAAUCUACUUUUUCGUGGGGGAUAACGUAGGGAAACUUACGCUAAUACCGCAUACGACCUACGGGUGAAAGCAGGGGAUCUUCGGACCUUGCGCGAUUGAAUGAGCCGAUGUCGGGUUAGCUAGUUGGCGGGGUAAAGGCCCACCAAGGCGACGAUCCGUAGCUGGUCUGAGAGGAUGAUCAGCCACACUGGAACUGAGACACGGUCCAGACUCCGACGGGAGGCAGCAGUGGGGAAUAUUGGACAAUGGGCGCAAGCCUGAUCCAGCCAUACCGCGUGGGUGAAGAAGGCCUUCGGGUUGUAAAGCCCUUUUGUUGGGAAAGAAAAGCAGCAGGUUAAUACCCCGCUGUUCUGACGGUACCCAAAGAAUAAGCACCGGCUAACUUCGUG